CCCUUAGAUGUCCUGGGCUGCACGCGCGCUACACUGACGAACUCAACGAGCUUAUCACCUUGGCAGAGAUGUCUGGGUAAUCUUUUGAAAGUUCGUCGUGCUGGGGAUAGAUGAUUGUAAUUAUUCGUCUUGAACGAGGAAUUCCUAGUAAGUGUGAGUCAUCAGCUCGCGCUGAUUACGUCCCUGCCCUUUGUACGCACCGCCCGUCGCUCCUACCGAUUGAAUGGUCCGGUGAGGUUCUCGGAUUUUUUCUGUUGUUUGGUUCGCUAAACGAUUGAAGAGAGAAGUUACCCAAACCUUACCAUUUAGAGGAAGGAGAAGUCGUAACA
rnacentral:rRNA from 1 species